AUACAUCACUACCCAUGUGGUCGUCUUUGGAGGUAUCCUCCCCUCAUUUGCAACCCCAUCAACCUCAAAUUCCCCCUUCUUCUGUUUCUUCAACAAAUUCGCAAACCCAAUAUAGUUUAUGAACUUAAGCAAGAUGAAGAUAAGAGUUGUUCAGCUCUUUGAACUUCAGCAAGACAAAGACUUCAAAGCAUCAUUUUUUGUCUUAUCAUCUAUAGUAAUAUAAUUGUGUUAAGACAUCUAAUCACUCUGCCACUGCUUUAAGACAUUUAAUCACUCUGCCAAGAAGAAGAAGAAGAAGAAGAAUUGAUAGUAGUUCAGCUCUUUGAGGUAAAUUUCG